rnacentral:rRNA from 1 species
UACAGAGGUCUCAAGCGUUGUUCGGAUUCAUUGGGCGUAAAGGGUGCGUAGGCGGCGCGGUAAGUCGGGUGUGAAAUCUCGGAGCUUAACUCCGAAACUGCAUUCGAUACUGCCGUGCUUGAGGACUGGAGAGGAGACUGGAAUUUACGGUGUAGCGGUGAAAUGCGUAGAUAUCGGAAGGAACACCAGUGGCGAAAGCGGCUUCCUGGUCCGACACCGACGUUCAGGCACGAAAGCGUGGGGAGCAAACAGG